GAGGGGAUAGCUCAGUGGUAGAGUGCAUGCUUAGCAUGCACGAGGUCCUGGGUUCAGUCCUCAGUCCCUCA
rnacentral:tRNA from 1 species